UGGGGAAUAUUGGACAAUGGGCGCAAGCCUGAUCCAGCCAUGCCGCGUGAGUGAUGAAGGCCUUAGGGUUGUAAAGCUCUUUCGCCGACGAAGAUAAUGACGGUAGUCGGAGAAGAAGCCCCGGCUAACUUCGUGCCAGCAGCCGCGGUAAUACGAAGGGGGCUAGCGUUGUUCGGAAUCACUGGGCGUAAAGCGCACGUAGGCGGAUUGUUAAGUCAGGGGUGAAAGCCUGGAGCUCAACUCCAGAACUGCCCUUGAUACUGGCAAUCUCGAGUCCGGAAGAGGUAAGUGGAACUGCGAGUGUAGAGGUGAAAUUCGUAGAUAUUCGCAAGAACACCAGUGGCGAAGGCGGCUUACUGGUCCGGUACUGACGCUGAGGUGCGAAAAGCGUGGGGAGCAAAACAGGAUUAGAUACCCUGGUAGUCCACGCCGUAAAACGAUGGAGGCUAGCCGUUGGCGAGCAUGCUCGUCAGUGGCGCAGCUAACGCAUUAAGCCUCCCGCCUGGGGAGUACGGUCGCAAGAUUAAAAACUUAAAAGGAAUUGAC
rnacentral:rRNA from 1 species